UACGUAGGGUGCAAGCGUUAAUCGGAAUACUGGGCGUAAAGCGUGCGCAGGCGGUGAUGUAAGACAGAUGUGAAAUCCCCGGGCUCAACCUGGGAACUGCAUUUGUGACUGCAUCGCUGGAGUACGGCAGAGGGGGGAUGGAAUUCCGGCGUGUAGCAGUGAAAUGCGUAGAUAUGCGGAGGAACACCGAUGGCGAACGGC
rnacentral:rRNA from 1 species